GGUACCUACAGCCACAAGGUUACAGAGUGGACCCUGCAGGGAGUCCCCACUGUCCCACCAGGUAAUGUCCAGGCUGAGCCAUUCAACUCCUCUACAGUCAGGCUGACCUGGUCAGCUCCUAGCCCUCAGUUCAUCAAUGGCAUCAACCAGGGAUACAAGCUGUUGGCGUGGGAGGCGGGUCAAGAGGAGGAUGUUACC